rnacentral:rRNA from 1 species
GGACAACCUACCCAAGAGUCAGGGAUAACCCCGGGAAACUGGGGAUAAUACCUGAUAGGCCACGACAUCUGGAAUGAGUCGUGGUUUAAACGUAAGGCUCUUGGAUGGGUCUGCGGCGGAUUAGGUUGUUGCCGGUGUAACGUACCAGCAAGCCUGUAAUCCGUACGGGUUGUGGGAGCAAGAGCCCGGAGAUGGAUUCUGAGACACGAAUCCAGGCCCUACGGGGCGCAGCAGGCGCGAAAACUCUACAAUGCAGGCAACUGCGAUAGGGGAACAUCGAGUGGCACCCACCAUGGGUGUCUGUCCAGCCGUCUAAAAAACGGCUGUUAGCAAGGGCCGGGCAAGACCGGUGCCAGCCGCCGCGGUAAUACCGGCGGCUCGAGUGGUGGCCGAUAUUAUUGAGUCUAAAGGGUCCGUAGCCGGCUUUGCAAGUCCCCUGGGAAAUCCAGCGGCUUAACCGUUGGGCUUUCAUGGGAUACUACAUUGCUUGGGACUGGGAGAGGUAGGAGGUACUCAGGGGGUAGGGGUGAAAUCCUGUAAUCCUCUGGGGACCACCGGUGGCGAAGGCGUCCUACCAGAACAGGUCCGACGGUGAGGGACGAAAGCUAGGGGCACGAACCGGAUUAGAUACCCGGGUAGUCCUAGCCGUAAACGAUGCUCGCUAGGUGUCACGGCAGUCGUGAAUUGUCGUGGUGCCGUAGGGAAGCCGUGAAGCGAGCCACUUGGGAAGUACGACCGCAAGGUUGAAACUUAA